UUAUUGUGUUAAAAAGUCCCCCCCCUCUGGAUUCCCUCUUUCUUUCCCUCUCUUUCUUUCUUUUUUUUUUUCUCUCUCUCUCUCUAAGAUUUUCACCUUCUCACUCAGUUAUAAUUUUUUUUCACCCCUGCCUCCUAUUUAGAAAGAGAGGGAAAGAAAGAGGGAAUCCAGAGGGGGAGGUUCUGCUCAAGUUUUAG
rnacentral:miRNA from 1 species